CUCUUCCCACUGCACCACCCUAUAUAAACCUCACCCUAGUUAGUCUCGCCCUCUCUCACCAUUGUUUGAGACAGCCCGGCAGCUCCUUCUCCAAUAAAGCCCUGCCUGGGGACCUCCUGUUUCCACUAGUUUUCUUUCAACUCCUGACCAGUCUCUGUCUCUGAUGUUAACAUAGACACAAAAACCUUCUAAGCUGUUGCAGUCAGGGUUUGCAAGAGAAUAGAUUUAAUACAGGAAACAUAAAUUGUAGGAUUAUUUUAUAAUAUUUACCCAAAGAGUCAAAUGCAGAGGAGUGCGAGAGAUCUGUCUACACACUAGAGACCCAAAGAAUCCAGCUGAGGGUCUUGAUCCCAAGGCAAUGUCCUGGGCAAGUCCAGCUAAAGGCCAAGAGCCCAAGGCAGUGUCCUGCAGGAGUCCAGCCAGAGGCCUAGAGCCCACAGCAAUGUCUCAUGCAAGCCCGUAUUGAGGAUCUGCUCCAGGAAGGCCCAAAGGCCAGUGGUGGAAGCUGGAAAGUCUGCCCUGGUGGGGUGAAGGAUCUGUGCCACCAGGCUGAGGGAUCUACACUGGAGCUAGGAAGCAACACUUGAGGCAAAGACCAGAGUUUCCCUGACAAGAACAUCAGACAUUCCCAGUGACAUCGAGGCGCCAAGCUCCUCCUCCGAUGAGAACAGCCAAGUCGCACCAGGAAAACCUGCCUCAGCAAGCCUCCCCAGGAAAAUCAACAGCAUACGAUUUCAUCUUCCCCUCCAGUUCUCUUUUUAAGCCGUUGGCAACAAUCCUCAGGACAUGUGGCAGAGCGAGGCUGAUUGGGAAAUGAGCCCUGAGAGGGGAGCAUCACAGUUUUUGAUGAUGGUGGUAGUGGAUGCAUCUAGCUUCAGAGGCUGCAGGACCAGCAGUUUGGACACAAUGCACAG
rnacentral:lncRNA from 1 species